rnacentral:rRNA from 1 species
UACAGAGGGUGCAAACGUUGCUCGGAAUUAUUGGGCGUAAAGCGCGUGUAGGCGGCUUGUUAAGUCGGGUGUGAAAGCCCCGGGCUCAACCUGGGAAUUGCAUUCGAGACUGCAUUGCUGGAGUACGGAAGAGGAGGGCGGAAUUCCCGGUGUAGCGGUGAAAUGCGUAGAUAUCGGGAGGAACAUCAGUGGCGAAGGCGGCCCUCUGGUCCAGUACUGACACUCAAGUGCGAAAGCGUGGGGAGCAAACAGG